GAUAAACGCUGGCGGCGUGCGUAACACAUGCAAGUUGGGCGACGGUGCUGGAGAGUGGUGACACAGGAAGGCAUACGGAGCAGCGGACUGGUGAGUAAUAUAUGAGAAGCUGUCCAUCAGAGGGGGACAACAACUGGAAACGGUUGCUAAUACCUCAUAGGCUGAAAAGUUAAAGCAGUAAUGCGCUGGUGGAGGUGCUCGUAUCCUAUCAACUAGCUGGCGGGGUAACGGCCCACCAGGGUAACGACGGGUAGCCGGCCUGAGAGGGUGUCCGGCCACACUGGAACUGAGAUACGGUCCAGACUCC
rnacentral:rRNA from 1 species